CCAAUAGCGUAUAUUAAAGUUGUUGCAGUUAAAAAGCUCGUAGUUGAAUUUCGGGAUCAAUAUGUUGGUCGUGCCUUGGUACGUACUAAUUUAUUGGUUUCUUCCUUCUGACGAACCAUGAUGUCAUUAAUUUGGUGUCUUUGGGAAUCAGGACUGUUACUUUGAAAAAAUUAGAGUGUUUAAAGCAGGCUCACGCUUGAAUACAUUAGCAUGGAAUAAUGAAAUAGGAUGUUUGAUUCUAUUUUGUUGGUUUCUAGGAUCGACGUAAUGAUUAAUAGGGAUAGUUGGGGGCAUUAGUAUUCGAUUGUCAGAGGUGAAAUUCUUGGAUUUAUUGAAGACUAACUACUGCGAAAGCAUUUGCCAAGGAUGUUUUCAUUAAUCAAGAACGAAAGUUAGGGGAUCGAAGACGAUCAGAUACCGUCGUAGUCUUAACCAUAAACUAUGCCGACUAGGGAUCGGAUGAUGUUAAUUUUUUAAUGACUCAUUCGGCGCCUUACG
rnacentral:rRNA from 1 species